rnacentral:misc_RNA from 1 species
UUUCCGUAGGUGAACCUGCGGAAGGAUCAUUGAAUCUAUCAAACACACAUCCGGUGACUUUGCGUCGGUUGGUCCAGCCGGGGCCCAGGAGGAACGGGCCUUUCUCGGAAGGCUCGUCCCUCUCUGGGCCCUGCCGCUGGCCAGCCCUAACCCCCCUCACACACCCCAAACACACAACACACGUUUCUGAAGCUGAACAGUGACAGCCGGCGCCGCCGCCUGUUCACGACCCAUAACCAAAGACAACUCUCAACAACGGAUAUCUUGGCUCCC